UGGGGAAUUUUGGACAAUGGGCGCAAGCCUGAUCCAGCAAUGCCGCGUGCAGGAUGAAGGCCUUCGGGUUGUAAACUGCUUUUGUACGGAACGAAACGGUCUUUUCUAAUACAGAAGGCUAAUGACGGUACCGUAAGAAUAAGCACCGGCUAACUACGUGCCAGCAGCCGCGGUAAUACGUAGGGUGCGAGCGUUAAUCGGAAUUACUGGGCGUAAAGCGUGCGCAGGCGGUCUUGUAAGACAGUCGCGAAAGCCCCGGGCUUAACCUGGGAACUGCGAUUGUGACUGCAAGGCUAGAGUGUGUCAGAGGGGGGUGGAAUUCCACGUGUAGCAGUGAAAUGCGUAGAUAUGCGGAGGAACACCGAUGGCGAAGGCAAUCCCCUGGGCCUGCACUGACGCUCAUGCACGAAAGCGUGGGGAGCAAACA
rnacentral:rRNA from 1 species